ACAAAUAAAUAAAAACUUUCAACAACGGAUCUCUUGGUUCUGGCAUCGAUGAAGAACGCAGCGAAAUGCGAUAAGUAAUGUGAAUUGCAGAAUUCAGUGAAUCAUCGAAUCUUUGAACGCACAUUGCGCCCGCCAGUAUUCUGGCGGGCAUGCCUGUCUGAGCGUCAUUUCAACCCU
rnacentral:rRNA from 1 species